CCUACGGGAGGCAGCAGUGAGGAAUAUUGGUCAAUGGACGAGAGUCUGAACCAGCCAAGUAGCGUGAAGGAUGACUGCCCUAUGGGUUGUAAACUUCUUUUAUAUGGGAAUAAAGUUCAGCAUGUAUGCUGUUUUGUAUGUAUUAUAUGAAUAAGGAUCGGCUAACUCCGUGCCAGCAGCCGCGGUAAUACGGAGGAUCCGAGCGUUAUCCGGAUUUAUUGGGUUUAAAGGGAGCGUAGGCGGAUGCUUAAGUCAGUUGUGAAAGUUUGCGGCUCAACCGUAAAAUUGCAGUUGAUACUGGGUGUCUUGAGUACAGCUGAGGUAGGCGGAAUUCGUGGUGUAGCGGUGAAAUGCUUAGAUAUCACGAAGAACUCCGAUUGCGAAGGCAGCCUACUAAACUGUAACUGACACUGAUGCUCGAAAGUGUGGGUAUCAAACAGGAUUAGAUACCCGAGUAGUC
rnacentral:rRNA from 1 species